AAAAUCUUGCUUUCUGAUCCUUAUAUAUACGUUUAAAAACAAGCCAAAAUCAAAUUUCAGAGGUUAAAAUCUCAGGGCAAGGCUGAAUGGAAAUGUGAGACCAGCCAUGCUCAACUUAAGCGAGUAGUCCUGAGAUUUUUGCUCUCGUGUGCAGCAGCUGCCGUAGGACUCCUGGGAUGUGACGUAUCGGGUUUAGAAAACUGUCUUCCAUUUGGAUUGCCAUAAAAUGUAUCGGCAUAAACCUGGACACUUUUGAGUGGAAAAGGGGUCCUUCUACUACACAAAUACAACAUUUGAAAGCAGGUCCAUCCUGAAUAAGGCAGAGUAUAUGGUUAUAAUGAUACUGAUGCUUUAUUAUUAAACACAUGUCAAACACAAUUGAGUCUAGCAUUAAUUGAGCUGAUUGUAUGUAAUUUCUCCUUAAACUUUUCUGUAGUUCGUUGGGGCUUCUGUGGCUCAGCAGUAAAGAACCGGCCUGCAGUGCGGCAGAGUAGCAGGGGACCUGGGUUCGGUCCCUGGGUUGAGAAGACCCCCUGGAGCAGGAAAUGGCAACCCGCUCCAGUAUUCCGGCCUGGAGAAUUCCAUGGACAGUGUUAACUGACUUUUGUCUGUUUUAUCCGGUACUGAUAUCAGCAUGCUCUAUGGAAUCUAACGUUCACGCGAGUCUCGUGUGCCCGGCACACCUGCCGUCACCCUGCUUCCCCGCGUCCAGCGUCCUCCCAAGCAGAUGCUGUGUCACCCGCGGUUCAGCUUGGGGAUCAAGGCCUGCGUCCCCCAGGCUGUCGGCGGGCUCCACCUCUGGCAGCUCCAGCAAGGCCCUUCAUGGGAAGUUUCCUUCUGACAAACAGACCUGGUGCCAAAGGUACUCGCCAUCCGGGAGCAGUCCACGUGCCAGCCAGUCAGCACAGGGGUGAAGGUUUUGCCGUCCGUCAGCCCCAGGCAGUUUGGAGGAGACGCCGUUGCGCAGUUAAUGUUACCCUAAGCAUCAGAAACAAGACUUACGAAGAAAGAGAAGGCCGGGCAGCUGGACCCAGGGAGACGAGUGGAGAAAAUGAGAGCGCUGGUCAUCCCGAAUCUGGCAACGGAAUGAUUAGGCUGAGACGUAAUAUUUGUCAAAAUGUGUAGUAUUUUGCAAACGAAAUUUGUAAAGAUAGCAUCAAGUUAGAGAAUAUGUUUCUAGGAAAGAAUACAAGUUUCAGUUCAGUCCCUCAGUCGUGUCCGACUCUUUGUGACCCCAUGAAUCGCAGCACGCCAGGCCUCCCUGUCCAUCACCAAUUCCCGGAGUUCACCCAGACUCACGUCCAUCGAGUCAGUGAUGCCAUCCAGCCAUCUCAUCCUCUGUCGUCCCCUUCUCCUCCUGCCCCCAAUCCCUCCCAGCAUCAGAGGCUUUUCCAAUGAGUCAACUCUUCACAUGAGGUGGCCAAAGUACUGGAGUUUCAGCUUUAGCAUCAUUCCUUCCAAAGAAAUCCCAGGGCUGAUCUCCUUCAGAAUGGACUGGUUGAAUCUCCUUGCAGUCCAAGGGACUCUCAAGAGUCUUCUCCAACACCACAGUUGAAAAGCAUCAAUUCUUCGGCUCUCAGCCUUCUUCACAGUCCAACUCUCACAUCCAUACAUGACCACAGGAAAAACCAUAGCCUUGACUAGACGAACCUUUGUUGGCAAGUUUCAUGGAUAUCUAAUUAAUUCUGACAAAUUAUCUUUAAUUUAGUUGACGUUUGGACCAUGUCAGUAACAGUGUCUCAAACAAUCUAUUUCAAGUGUUAUUUUCUCCAGGGUGGAUAAUAUAAAACACUUUGCGGAGGUUCAUCUGGUCAUCCAGUCUUGUAAACAUCUCAGGAUCAGUGUGCCUUGUCCCCUGCAGAAGAAGUGAAGAUUUUGCAACCAAGUGGAGGUGGGUUGGAAAGGAAAGCCCAGAUUUUGUUAGUCGUGCCCCACGAGGGCAACUGAAGAGCUACUCAGGAUUUGUGAAGCUGUGGUUUAUAAAGCCAGCUACUUGAUGGCACGCACCCGCUUCAGGAAAAUCGCAUGUAAUGCUGACCCCCCUCCCCGCUACUGCUUUGGAAGAGCUCCUCAGAGUUAGCUGAAAUGCUGUCCUCCAGGCUAUGCUCCUCAUUUUGCCCCAAAUAAAACUUAAGUCUCAACUCUCA
ensembl:lncRNA